UACGUAGGGUGCAAGCGUUGUCCGGAAUUAUUGGGCGUAAAGAGCUCGUAGGCGGUUUGUCGCGUCUGCUGUGAAAACUCGGGGCUUAACCCCGGGUCUGCAGUGGAUACGGGCAGGCUAGAGGUAGGUAGGGGAGAAUGGAAUUCCCGGUGUAGCGGUGAAAUGCGCAGAUAUCGGGAGGAACACCGGUGGCGAAGGCGGUUCUCUGGGCCUUACCUGACGCUGAGGAGCGAAAGCGUGGGGAGCAAACGGG
rnacentral:rRNA from 1 species